UACGUAGGGGGCAAGCGUUGUCCGGAUUUACUGGGCGUAAAGAGCGCGUAGGCGGAACGUUAAGUCCGAUCUGAAAGCCCCCGGCUCAACCGGGGAGGGUGGUUGGAAACUGGCGUUCUUGAGGGCGAUAGAGGAAGGUGGAAUUCCUGGUGUAGCAGUGAAAUGCGUAGAGAUCAGGAGGAACACCCGGGGCGAAGGCGGCCCUCUGGCUCGACCCUGACGCUGAGGCGCGAAAGCGUGGGGAGCGAACGGG
rnacentral:rRNA from 1 species